UACGUAGGGGGCAAGCGUUGUCCGGAUUUAUUGGGCGUAAAGAGCGUGUAGGCGGCUUUACAGGUCCGUUGUGAAAACUCGAGGCUCAACCUCGAGACGCCGGUGGAAACCGUAAGGCUAGAGUCCGGAAGAGGAGAGUGGAAUUCCUGGUGUAGCGGUGAAAUGCGCAGAUAUCAGGAGGAACACCGAUUGCGAAGGCAGCUCGCUGGGACGUUACUGACGCUGAGACGCGAAAGCGUGGGGAGCAAACAGG
rnacentral:rRNA from 1 species